UACGAGGGGGGCAAAUGUUGUUCGGAAUCACUGGGCGUAAAGGGCGCGUAGGCGGCUCAUGAAGGCUGUGGUGAAAGUCCGGGGCUCAACCUCGGAUCGGCCGUGGCGACUCGUGGGCUGGAGCACUGUAGAGGCGGGUGGAAUUCCGGGUGUAGCGGUGGAAUGCGUAGAGAUCCGGAAGAACACCAGUGGCGAAGGCGGCCCGCUGGGCAGUGGCUGACGCUGAGGCGCGACAGCGUGGGGAGCAAACAGG
rnacentral:rRNA from 1 species